rnacentral:rRNA from 1 species
CAGGUGCUGCAUGGCUGUCGUCAGCUCGUGUUGUGAAAUGUUGGGUUAAGUCCCGCAACGAGCGCAACCCUUAUCCUUUGUUGCCAGCGAUUCGGUCGGGAACUCAAAGGAGACUGCCAGUGAUAAACUGGAGGAAGGUGGGGAUGACGUCAAGUCAUCAUGGCCCUUACGACCAGGGCUACACACGUGCUACAAUGGCGCAUACAAAGAGAAGCGACCUCGCGAGAGCAAGCGGACCUCAUAAAGUGCGUCGUAGUCCGGAUUGGAGUCUGCAACUCGACUCCAUGAAGUCGGAAUCGCUAGUAAUCGUGGAUCAGAAUGCCACGGUGAAUACGUUCCCGGGCCUUGUACACACCGCCCGUCACACCAUGGGAGUGGGUUGCAAAAGAAGUAGGUAGCUUAACCUUCGGGAGGGCGCUUACCACUUUGUGAUUCAUGACUGGGGUGAAGUCGUAACAAGGUAACCGUAGGGGAACCUGCGGUUGGAUCACCUCCUUACCUUAAAGAA